GACGAACGCUGGCGGCGUGCUUAACACAUGCAAGUCGAACGGAAAGGCCCUGCUUUUGUGGGGUGCUCGAGUGGCGAACGGGUGAGUAACACGUGAGUAACCUGCCCUUGACUUUGGGAUAACUUCAGGAAACUGGGGCUAAUACCGGAUAGGAGCUCCUGCUGCAUGGUGGGGGUUGGAAAGUUUCGGCGGUUGGGGAUGGACUCGCGGCUUAUCAGCUUGUUGGUGGGGUAGUGGCUUACCAAGGCUUUGACGGGUAGCCGGCCUGAGAGGGUGACCGGCCACAUUGGGACUGAGAUACGGCCCAGACUCCUACGGGAGGAAGCAGGGGGGAAUAUUGAACAAUGGGCGGAAGCCGGAGGCAGCAACGCCGCGGGCGGGAUGACGGCCUUCGGGUGGUAAACCGCUUUCGCCUGUGACGAAGCGUGAGUGACGGUAAUGGGUAAAGAAGCACCGGCUAACUACGUG
rnacentral:rRNA from 1 species